rnacentral:lncRNA from 1 species
AGUCUGUGUAGUCUGAGGACCCCGGGGAAAACCCUUAAAAAGUGUAAAAACAAAAUUAAAUGCAAAGAGUAUGGAUUAAAUGCAAAGAGGAUGGAGCUCAAUCCUAGAAAGAAUAAAACCAUUGUAUUUGCUUUUUCUAGGGCUCUCCCCCUCCCCCAGGAAAAAAGUCCUCAAAGCAGAGUGCGCGUUUGAAUCCCUCCCAUCUAUUUUCUUUAAAGAAAAAAAAAAAAAAAGAAAAAAAAAAAAAAAAAAAAAAAAAAAAAAAAAAAAAAAAAAAAAAAGAAAAGGGGAAUAGAUUUUGAAGUAAAGGGGAAGUAUGUUUCCCUGAUCUAAUUUUACCUUCACUCUCAGGGAUAGGGGAGCCAAAAUGGCAGCCAAACUAAGGUACUUGUCAGAAUGUAGCACAGGGAAGACCUGUGACUAACCUAUGUUAAACAGUCACUACCUCUAACCUCAAACAAGUCCUCUGUCUUGGUGCAGAUCUCAUUAAUCACACAAGGAUUGUUAGUCUCCUUGACCUUGUGCUUCUUGGCACUGUACAAUGGCUCUUUUGUGAUCCCUUCUCCUGGAAUCAGACACAAUUAUUAAUCAUAGUCCCACAAUAUUUAUCAAUCAAUAUAAGGUUUCCAUAGUCUAAAGCUUUUGGGUAUGUAUUGAUAUUAGGGCUAAUGGAUAUUUUAAAAGAUUAAUAUUGAUUGUAUGUACUUUAAGUAUGAAAAAUAAGAAAGGGAAAAAAUCAAAUAUUCUAUUGAAAAUAAAAAGAAAAGCAAUAAUAAAAAAAAUUCA